UGGGAAUAUUGACAAUGGGGCAACCCUGAUCCAGCCAUGCCGCGUGAGUGAUGAAGGCCUUCGGGUUGUAAAGCAUCUUUUGCGGGGUACGAUGAUGACGGAUACCCCGCAGAAUAAGCCCCGGCUAACUUCGUGCCAGCAGCCGCGGUAAGACGAAGGGGGCUAGCGUUGUUCGGAAUUACUGGGCGUAAAGCGAGUGUAGGCGGUUUGCCGUAGUCAGGUGUGAAAGCCCUUGAGCUCAACUCAAGAAAUGCACUUGAUACUGGGUGACUAGAGGACCGGAGAGGAUAGUGGAAUUCCCCAGUGUAGUGGGUGAAAUACGUAGAGAUUGGGAAGAACACCAGUGGCGAAGGCGGCUAUCUGGACGGUUACUGACGCUAAGACUCGAAAGCGUGGGGAGCAAACAGGAUUAGAUACCCUGGUAGUCCACGCCGUAAAACGAUGGGUGCUAGACGUUGGC
rnacentral:rRNA from 1 species